rnacentral:misc_RNA from 1 species
GAUGAAAGAACGCAGCGAAAUGCGAUAAGUAAUGUGAAUUGCAGAAUUCAGUGAAUCAUCGAAUCUUUGAACGCACAUUGCGCCCGCCAGUAUUCUGGCGGGCAUGCCUGUUCGAGCGUCAUUUCAACCAUCAAGCCCCCGGCUUGUGUUGGGGACCUGCGGCUGCCGCAGGCCCUGAAAAGCAGUGGCGGGCUCGCUGUCACACCGAGCGUAGUAGCAUACAUCUCGCUCUGGGCGUGCUGCGGGUUCCGGCCGUUAAACCACCUUCAUAACCCAAGGUUGACCUCGGAUCAGGUAGGAAGACCCGCUGAACUUAAGCAUAUCAAUAAGCGGAGGA